AAUGGGGGAAACCCUGAUGCAGCAACGCCGCGUGAGUGAAGAAGGCCUUCGGGUUGUAAAGCUCUGUCUUCAGGGACGAUAAUGACGGUACCUGAGGAGGAAGCCACGGCUAACUACGUGCCAGCAGCCGCGGUAAUACGUAGGUGGCGAGCGUUGUCCGGAUUUACUGGGCGUAAAGGGAGCGUAGGCGGACUUUUAAGUGGGAUGUGAAAUACCCGGGCUUAACUCGGGUGCUGCAUUCCAAACUGGGAGUCUAGAGUGCAGGAGAGGAAAGUGGAAUUCCUAGUGUAGCGGUGAAAUGCGUAGAGAUUAGGAAGAACACCAGUGGCGAAGGCGACUUUCUGGACUGUAACUGACGCUGAGGCUCGAAAGCGUGGGGAGCAAA
rnacentral:rRNA from 1 species